rnacentral:misc_RNA from 1 species
CGGCAGAGCUCGGACCGAGGCGCUGUGUCCACGCUUGUCGGGAACUCUCG